rnacentral:rRNA from 1 species
AUUGAACGCUGGCGGCAGGCUUAACACAUGCAAGUCGAACGGUAACAUAAAGAAGCUUGCUUCUUUGAUGACGAGUGGCGGACGGGUGAGUAAUGCUUGGGAAUCUAGCUUAUGGAGGGGGAUAACUACGGGAAACUGUAGCUAAUACCGCGUAGAAUCGGGAGAUGAAAGUGUGGGACCUUCGGGCCACAUGCCAUAGGAUGAGCCCAAGUGGGAUUAGGUAGUUGGUGAGGUAAAGGCUCACCAAGCCGACGAUCUCUAGCUGGUCUGAGAGGAUGACCAGCCACACUGGGACUGAGACACGGCCCAGACUCCUACGGGAGGCAGCAGUGGGGAAUAUUGCGCAAUGGGGGCAACCCUGACGCAGCCAUGCCGCGUGAAUGAAGAAGGCCUUCGGGUUGUAAAGUUCUUUCGGUAGCGAGGAAGGCAUUUAGUUUAAUAAACUGGAUGAUUGACGUUAACUACAGAGGAAGCACCGCUAA